GACGAAGGAUCCAAGCGUUAUCCGGAUUCAUUGGGUUUAAAGGGUGCGUAGGCGGGUUUGUAAGUCAGUGGUGAAAUCCUAUCGCUUAACGAUGGAACUGCCAUUGAUACUGCAGACCUAGAGUACAGAUGAUGUUGGCGGAAUAUGACAUGUAGCGGUGAAAUGCAUAGAUAUGUCAUAGAACACCGAUUGCGAAGGCAGCUGACAAAACUGUAACUGACGCUGAUGCACGAAAGUGCGGGGAUCAAACAGG
rnacentral:rRNA from 1 species